CCUACGGGCGGCAGCAGUCGAGAAUCAUUCACAAUGGGGGAAACCCUGAUGGUGCGACGCCGCGUGGGGGAAUGAAGGUCUUCGGAUUGUAAACCCCUGUCAUGUGGGAGCGAAUUAAAAAGAUAGUACCACAAGAGGAAGAGACGGCUAACUCUGUGCCAGCAGCCGCGGUAAUACAGAGGUCUCAAGCGUUGUUCGGAAUCACUGGGCGGAAAGCGUGCGUAGGCUGUUUCGUAAGUCGUGUGUGAAAGGCGCGGGCUCAACCCGCGGACGGCACAUGAUAUUGCGAGACUAGAGUAAUGGAGGGGGAGCCGGAAUUCUCGGUGUAGCAGUGAAAUGCGUAGAUAUCGAGAGGAACACUCGUGGCGAAGGCGGGUUCCUGGACAUUAACUGACGCUGAGGCACGAAGGCCAGGGGAGCGAAAGGGAUUAGAUACCCCUGUAGUC
rnacentral:rRNA from 1 species